CAGAUAGACUAGAUAUGUUACCCUCCUAGACAAUGAAGAUGCUUUCAUGGUAUACAGCACACGAAGAUUUGUAUCAUAUAACGCCUAAAUAUGUUGCACUCUUCGACAAUGAAAAUGGUUUCAUUGUAGAUAGCACAUUAGGAUGUCACAUAUACUGCCUAAAUAUGUAAGACUCCUAUACCAUGAAAGAUGCUUCCAUUGCAGAUAGCACAUUAGGAUUAGUCACAUAUACAGCCUAAAUAUGUAAGACUCCUAUACCAUGAAAGAUGCUUCCAUUGCAGAUGCACAUUAGGAUAAGUCACAUAUUAUACAGCCUUAAUAUGUAACACUCCUAUACCAUGAAAGAUGCUUUCACACAUUAGGAUGUUGCACAUAUACAUCAAAAUAUGUUGCACUCCUAGACAGAGAAGAUGGAUUCAUGGCAGAUAGGAAGAGUCAACAUAUACAGCCCAGAUAUGUUCCACUCCUACCCAAUGAAUAUGGUUUCAUGGUAGAUGCACAUUAGGAUGUUUAACAUAUACAGCCGAAAUAUGUUACACUCCUAGACAAUGAAGAUGGUUUCAUGGUAGAUUGAUCACACAUCUGGAUACGUAGCAUGUA